rnacentral:rRNA from 1 species
GGAUGAACGCUGGCGGUAUGCCUAACAAUACACAUGCAAGUCGAACGAACCUUCGGGUUAGUGGCGGACGGGUGAGUAACGCGUGAGAAUCUGCCCUCAGGAGGGGGAUAACGGCUGGAAACGGCCGCUAAUACCCCAUAUGCCGAGAGGGGAAAUGAAUUAUUGCCUGAAGAUGGGCUCGCGUCUGAUUAGCUAGUUGGGGGUGUAAGGGACCACCAAGGCAACGAUCAGUAGCUGGUCUGAGAGGAUGAGCAGCCACACUGGGACUGAGACACGGCCCAGACUCCUACGGGAGGCAGCAGUGGGGAAUUUUCCGCAAUGGGCGAAAGCCUGACGGAGCAAUACCGCGUGAGGGAGGAAGGUCUUUGGAUUGUAAACCUCUUUUAUUAGGGAAGAAGUUCUGACGGUACCUAAUGAAUAAGCAUCGGCUAACUCCGUGCCAGCAGCCGCGGUAAUACGGAGGAUGCGAGCGUUAUCCGGAAUUAUUGGGCGUAAAGAGUCCGUAGGUGGUUUAGCAAGUCUGCCGUUAAAGAAUGGAGCUUAACUCCAUAGGGGCGGUGGAAACUGUGAGACUAGAGUACAGUAGGGGUAGCAGGAAUUCCCAGUGUAGCGGUGAAAUGCGUAGAUAUUGGGAAGAACAUCGGUGGCGAAAGCGUGCUACUGGGGCUGAAACUGACACUGAGGGACGAAAGCUAGGGUAGCGAAAGGGAUUAGAUACCCCUGUAGUCCUAGCCGUAAACGAUGGAUACUAGGCGAGGCUUGUAUCGACCCGAGCCGUGCCGAAGCUAACGCGUUAAGUAUCCCGCCUGGGGAGUACGCACGCAAGUGUGAAACUCAAAGGAAUUGACGGGGGCCCGCACAAGCGGUGGAGUAUGUGGUUUAAUUCGAUGCAACGCGAAGAACCUUACCAAGGCUUGACAUCCCUGGAAUCCUUGUGAAAGCGAGGAGUGCCUUAGGGAGCCAGGAGACAGGUGGUGCAUGGCUGUCGUCAGCUCGUGUCGUGAGAUGUUGGGUUAAGUCCCGCAACGAGCGCAACCCUCGUUUUUAGUUGCCAGCAUUAAGUUGGGCACUCUAGAGAGACUGCCGGUGACAAACCGGAGGAAGGUGGGGAUGACGUCAAGUCAUCAUGCCCCUUACGCCUUGGGCUACACACGUACUACAAUGGUCGGGACAACGGGCAGCCAAUCCGCGAGGACGAGCGAAUCCCAACAAACCCGGCCUCAGUUCAGAUUGCAGGCUGCAACUCGCCUGCAUGAAGGAGGAAUCGCUAGUAAUCGCAGGUCAGAAUACUGCGGUGAAUUCGUUCCCGGGCCUUGUACACACCGCCCGUCACACCAUGGAAGCUGGUCACGCCCGAAGUCGUUACUCUAACCUUUCGAGGAGGAGGGCGCCGAAGGCAGGGCUAGUGACUGGGGU